rnacentral:rRNA from 1 species
UACGUAGGGUGCGAGCGUUAAUCGGAAUUACUGGGCGUAAAGUGUGCGCAGGCGGCCGAGCAAGUCGAGUGUGAAAGCCCCGAGCUUAACUUGGGAACUGCGCUCGAAACUACUUGGCUAGAGUGUGGCAGAGGGAGGUGGAAUUCCACGUGUAGCGGUGAAAUGCGUAGAGAUGUGGAGGAACACCGAUGGCGAAGGCGGUUCUCUGGGCAUUACCUGACGCUGAGGAGCGAAAGUGUGGGGAGCGAACAGG